GACGAACCGUGCGACCGUUAUUCGGAAUCACUGGGCUUAAAGGGCGCGUAGGCGGGCGGCUUUGUCAGGGGUGAAAUCUUUCGGCCCAACCGGAAGACUGCCUCUGAGACGGGCCGUCUCGAGGGAGGUAGGGGCAUGCGGAACUUCCGGUGGAGCGGUGAAAUGCGUAGAUAUCGGAAGGAACGCCGGUGGCGAAAGCGGCGUGCUGGACCUCUUCUGACGCUGAGGCGCGAAAGCCAGGGGAGCAAACGGG
rnacentral:rRNA from 1 species